UGAUUGUUUUUUCUUGGCUGUUGUUUGUAUUUUCAUCUGUUCAGUAACAGUAUAGAGGAACUCAGAAUAUCUGAAGGUAAAUGUAGAAUAGGUGCAUAUGUAAUCUUGAAUGCUUUGCUUUACAUGAAAGCUGCAUAUAAUAAAGGAGUCAGCUCAACCUACACCUGUCUAGCAGUGCUUUGGUAAAUGUGUUUUUGUAUAUAUUUAUAUAUUACUAUAUAAACUAUGGUACUUUAAAUGUCAAUAUAUAUUUAUUAAAACUCAAAGUUUUAUGUUAACCUUCCACUUUCUCUUAGUGGAUGGAAACUGGGAAAUGUUUUGUCACGUUUUCAGCAAAGCGAGCACACAAAGCAAAAGUGCCUUCCAAAAUUACUAACAGAACUUAUUCAGAUCUUCAUUUCAUAUCUUAAAUCAGACAUUCUUUUCUAAAUUUAUUAAACUACAUACAGGUAACAGUUUUAGGGUUAGAAGUUUAAGCUGUAUAACAGGCUGUGAAUUUACUAAUCCUUUUCUCAUCUUCCACUACCAUGUUUCUUUUGUAGGAGAAUCUCAAUGAAUUGAGAUGAUUGAUAUUGCUGCAGUGAGAAUGGAAAUUACUUGGGUUCCUUUCCUUUUAAAAGCUGCAUGCAAGAACUGUGUGGUACAGGAGUGUGUUGUUCUACAGUACACGUGGAAGCAACAGCUCUGUGGAAGAGCAGUGUUCAUUCCUCCAUCCCAUAGUUCUCCAGACUGCCAGUGACUAUCAAUAGAGCUUUUCAUUAGCCUGUGAUAUAUCAGGAAUUUGCUGACACUGUUACUGCUUUCCAUGCCGCAAGUGGAAUUGAAGUAAAGGCCACCAAGAGGAGGUGUCCAGUCCCGUGGAGGCUUACAACCCCUGUGCUGUCAAGGCAGUGCUGGUAUCUUCAGCACUUGUCUAUGCAGCCAGCAAAAGCUCAGCUUCUGCUUCCAGAUGUGAGAUACCAAGAUGAUUAACCCACCUAAUGUUUGGAUCCUCUAAUGGUUCACCGCCUAGUGCAGGUACAGAACUGACCUGAGAGAGAAAUGUUGUUCUUCAGAUAUGCAAAAUAUGGUGUCAGAUGUUCUACAGAUCUACCUACCUAACAAACUCGGAGAAAAAAAAUGGUCCUAAAGUCUCACUAAUGUCUAGAUUGUCAUCAUAAUGUAUAGAUGUCAUUCUGUGCUUCUUCCAAGUUCCUGUAGCAGCUAUCACCCACCCAUUUAUUCACCCCAUCACAUCUUUUGCUCUUCUGUAGCUGAUGUUGUUAAAAUUUGACAGCUGUUAACUGUCCUCCCUUGGAUUCAGCAAGUUGUGUCUGGUUCCACAAAGGCACUGACCCUCUCCAGCCAUAUGUUAUCCCUUUACUCCUCUCAAAGGGGAAAUAAGUGGGCUUGCUUUCUUCUGUGGGUUUCAGCCCACCUCUAGAGCAUGACCUGUUCCUCUGUUCCACCAGUGGCCAGGCCUAGGAGCAAGCUGAAGCAAUUGCAAAAAGAUGCAAAGAUUAAAGAUGGAAGGCUCAACAUGUGUUGUGUGCUGUUUAUUGUUGAAUGCAGUGUUGUAAAUGAAAUGGUUUGUCUGUAAUUAAUUUUAUUACACAUUUUAGUUAUCACUGGGGGGGAAGCAUAGACCAGUCUUUUCAGAGGGCCCUCAAUGAAAGCUGCAAACUGCCUUUGAAACUUAAAGAAAAUUGAGUUCCUAACU